rnacentral:lncRNA from 1 species
CAUGACAAAAAAAAAAUAUAUAUAUAUAUAUAUAUAUAUGUAUAUGUUUAUAUCUGGUUCGUAACUGUGUCUGAGAACAACACAUAUAUAUUAAGUAAAUAUAAUGUUUAUGUGUUUUAUUAUAUAUAAACUACUAUAUAUCAUUAUUUAUUAUUCUUCUUCACUCUUUCAGAUUCUAAAACAAAAACAUUUACGCAUAGCAGAAAGGAAAACAAUUCAUACGAAAAAGAGCUUGUAGGCAUAAAAAGAAGACCAAGAAGCUAUAACAACAGGUUUAAUAACAGAUAUCAAGACAGUGAUGAUAAAUCAAUGUCAAGAAGGAAAAAUAAAAAAAGAACCAAAAACGAAAUGACUGUUAGGUCAAGUUCAUCAAGUGAUAGUAUUAGGAGGUGGCAUUACGAUAAAGAUAAUGUUAGGGUGAUAACAAAAAAUAAUAAAAAUAGAGAUAUGGAAAAAUAUAAAAUAAAAGAUAAACAUCGAAGGAUAGAUAAAUACUCAAAUUCUUCCGUUUCACCAAAUCGUGUAAUAUAUAUAGAAAAAGAUGAUGGAAAAGGGAGGUCAUCAAAAGAAGGGAAAUAUGAAACUGUAGAGGAUAGGAUGGCGGAAGUAGAUGAAAGUAGAAAAAACUAUAUGUCAGACGAUAAUAAUAUGAACGAAAAAAAAAAUAAAGCCAUUUUAAAGUAAUAUAUAAAAAUAGUAACAUAAAAUAACAGUCAAGCAUUCACUAAGUAUAUAU